rnacentral:rRNA from 1 species
UCUACGGGUGGCUGCAGUGGGGAAUAUUGGACAAUGGGCGAAAGCCUGAUCCAGCCAUGCCGCGUGUGUGAAGAAGGCCUUCGGGUUGUAAAGCACUUUCAGUGGGGAAGAAAGCCUUGGGGCUAAUACCCUCGAGGAAGGACAUCACCCACAGAAGAAGCACCGGCUAACUCCGUGCCAGCAGCCGCGGUAAUACAGGAGGGUGCGAGCGUUAAUCGGAAUUACUGGGCGUAAAGCGCGCGUAGGCGGUCUGAUAAGCCGGUUGUGAAAGCCCCGGGCUCAACCUGGGAACGGCAUCCGGAACUGUCAGGCUAGAGUGCAGGAGAGGAAGGUAGAAUUCCCGGUGUAGCGGUGAAAUGCGUAGAGAUCGGGAGGAAUACCAGUGGCGAAGGCGGCCUUCUGGACUGACACUGACGCUGAGGUGCGAAAGCGUGGGUAGCAAACAGGAUUAGAUACCCCUGUAGUC